rnacentral:rRNA from 1 species
UAGUAGUUAUAUUCUUGAAAAUUAAAAAAGAUGGCGGUAUUUUAGUCUAUUCAGAGGAACCUGUCCUGUAAUUGAUGGUCCACGAUUUAUUUUACUUAUUUAAAAAGUUUACAUAUCGCCGUAGGUUGAAUAUUUUUUAAGAAUUUGUAAUGUUCAAGAUGUUUUUAAAGUGAAAAAAAAUCAGGUCAAGAUGUAGCUUAUAUAUAAGUAGAGAUGGGUUACAAUAAAUUUAUUUAUUAUGAAUUAAUUAAUGAAAUUUGUUAUGAAGGUGGAUUUGAGGGUAAU